UACAGGGGGGGCAAGCGUUGUUCGGAAUUACUGGGCGUAAAGGGUUUGUAGGUGGCUUGCUAAGUCAGACGUGAAAUCCCUCAGCUUAACUGGGGAACUGCGUCUGAUACUGGCGAGCUUGAGUGCAGGAGAGGAACGCGGAAUUCCAGGUGUAGAGGUGAAAUUCGUAGAUAUCGGGAGGAACACCCGUGGCGAAGGCGGUUCUCUGGGACGGUACUGACGCUGAGACGCGAAAGCGUGGGGAGCGAACAGG
rnacentral:rRNA from 1 species